rnacentral:snRNA from 1 species
GGAUGUGAGGGUGAUCUGGCUGUGACAUCUGUCACCCCAUUGAUCGCCAGGGUUGAUUUGGCUGAUCUGGCUGGCUAGGCCCUUCCUCCCUCACCUCUCCAUAUGCAUCCCUCCCAAAGCUGCGACCUCGGUCGAAGAGCACGACCUUCCCUGCUAGAGGAGGACCGUUCUUCGGUUAAGGGUAUACGAGUAGCUGUGCUCCCCUGCUAGAACCUCCAAACAAGCUCUCAAAUAUCUCAGAAACCACCUGCCAAAUCCAGUAGUCUCU